AGAUGUGUGGAGCUUACGGAAUGUGGAGCCCAUUUAUUUUGCAUGCACAUUUAAUGUGAAAAAUUAUUUUUAAGUUCUAAAGCAACCUCUCGGAAAUGCUAAGAACUGCAAAGCUACGCAGACCCUGAUGCAUUCCUAAAUAUAAUGAAGAAAAAACAGAAAUGCACCAAGAAUUGAAAACCCUGGUUACUCACGAUUCUUUUCACCUUUCCACCUUGACCCAGCUUUCGUUCUGUCCGAGACACCCACAGGAGAAGUUAUCUCAGCCAUCGAGAGCAGCAGCAUCAGUAACAGCACAGCCAUGCCAGACUCAGCAAUUCUGCUCUUAGAAGUUUUACCCAAGAGAAAAGGAAAACACAUGCCCACAUGAAGAGUGUUUAUAUCAGCUUUAUUCAUAAUCACCUCCACCUGGUAACAACCAAUUGUCCACCGAAUGAGACAAAGUCUAGCUCUGUUGCCCAGACUGGACUACAGUGGUGUGAUUAUAGCUCACAUCCUCACAUCAGACUUGCACUCCUAGACUCAAGCAAUCCUUCUGCCUCAGCCUAAAGAGUAGCUGGCUACAGGUGUGCACCACCAGACCCACCUAAUUAAAACAAGGUUCCAUGUUCAUGGGUAGGAAGAAUCAGUAUCGUGAAAUUGGCCAUACUGCCCAAGGUAAUUUAUAGAUUCAAUGCCAUCCCCAUCAAGCUACCAAUGACUUUCUUCACAGAAUUGGAAAAAACUACUUUAAAGUUCAUGUGGAUCCAAAAAAGAGCCCACAUUGCCAAGACAACCCUAAGCCAAAAGAACAAAGCUGGAGGCAUCACGCUAUCUGACUUCAAACUAUACUACAAGGCUACAGUAACCAAAACAGCAUGGUACUGGUACCAAAACAGAGAUAUAGACCAAUGGAACAGAACAGAGCUCUCAGAAAUUAAUACUGCACAUCUACAACCAUCUGAUCUUUGAAAAACAACCAUCUGAUCUUUGACAAAAACAAGAACUGGGGAAAGGAUUCCCUAUUUAAUAAAUCGUGCUGGGAAAACUGGCUAGCCAUAUGUAGAAAGCUGAAACUGGAUCCCUUCCUUACACCUUAUACAAAAAUUAAUUCAAGAUGCAUUAAAGACUUAAAUGUUAGACCUAAAACAAUAAAAACCCUAGAAGAAAACCUAGGCAAUACUAUUCAGGACAUAGGCAUGGGCAAGGACUUCAUGUCUAAAACACCAAAAGCAAUGGCAGCAAAAGCCAAAAUUGACAAAUGGGAUCUAUUUAAACUAAAGAGCUUCUGCACAGCAAAAGAAACUAUCAUCAGAAUGAACAGGCAACCUACAGAAUGGGAGAAAAUUUUUGCAAUCUACUCAUCUGACAAAGGGCUAAUAUCCAGAAUUUACAAAGAACUCAAACAAAUUCACAAGAAAAAAGUAAACAACACCUUCAAAAAGUGGGUGAAGGAUAUGAACAGACACUUCUCAAAAGAAGACAUUUAUGCAGCCAACAGACACAUGAAAAAAUGCUCAACAUCACUGGCCAUCAGAGAAAUGCAAAUCAAAACCACAAUGAGAUACCAUCUCACACCAGUUAGAAUGGCGAUCAUUAAAAAGUCAGGAAACAGUGCCGGAGAGGAUGUGGAGAAAUAGGAACACUUUUACACUGUUGGUGGGACUGUAAACUAAUUCAACCAUUGUGGAAGACAGUGUGGCGAUUCCUCAAGGAUCUAGAUCUAUUAAUACCAUUUGACCCAGCCAUCCCAUUACUGGGUAUAUACCCAAAGGAUUAGAAAUCAUGCUGCUGUAAAGACACAUGCACACGUAUGUUUAUUGUGGCACUAUUCACAAUAGCAAAGACUUGGAACCAACCCAAAUGUCCAUCAAUGAUAGACUGGAUUAAAAAAAUAUGGCACAUAUACACCAUGGAAUACUAUGUAGCCAUAAAAAAUGAUGAGUUCAUAUCCUUUGUAGGGACAUGGAUGAAGCUGGAAACCAUCAUUCUCAGCAAACUAUCGCAAGGACAAAAAACCAAACACCGCAUGUUCUCACUCAUAGGUGGGAAUUGAACAAUGAGAACACUUGGACACAGGAAGGGGAACAUCACAUACCAGGGCCUGUCGUGGGGUUGGGGGAGGAGGGAGGGAUAGCAUUAGGAAAUAUACCUAAUAUAAAUGACCAAUUAAUGGGUGCAGCACACCAACAUGACACAUGUAUACAUAUGUAACAAACCUGCACGUUGUGCACAUGUACCCUAGAACUUAAAGUAUAAUAAAAAAUAAAUAAAU
rnacentral:lncRNA from 1 species